GUGAGAUGUUGGGUUAAGUCCCGCAACGAGCGCAACCCUUGAUCUUAGUUGCCAUCAUUAAGUUGGGCACUCUAAGGUGACUGCCGGUGACAAACCGGAGGAAGGUGGGGAUGACGUCAAAUCAUCAUGCCCCUUAUGACCUGGGCUACACACGUGCUACAAUGGACGGUACAAAGAGCUGCAAGACCGCGAGGUGGAGCUAAUCUCAUAAAACCGUUCUCAGUUCGGAUUGUAGGCUGCAACUCGCCUACAUGAAGCUGGAAUCGCUAGUAAUCGCGGAUCAGCAUGC
rnacentral:rRNA from 1 species